rnacentral:rRNA from 1 species
CAGCAGCCGCGGUAAAACGGAGGGGGCUAGCGUUGUUCGGAAUUACUGGGCGUAAAGCGCGCGUAGGUGGUUCAUUAAGUUGGAUGUGAAAGCCCUGGGCUCAACCUGGGAACUGCAUCCAAAACUGGUGAGCUAGAGUACGGUAGAGGGUAGUGGAAUUUCCUGUGUAGCGGUGAAAUGCGUAGAUAUAGGAAGGAACACCAGUGGCGAAGGCGACUACCUGGACUGAUACUGACACUGAGGUGCGAAAGCGUGGGGAGCAAACAGGAUUAGAUACCCCAGUAGUCCCUGUCUCUUAUAC